ACGUAGGUGGCAAGCGUUGUCCGGAUUUACUGGGUGUAAAGGGCGUGUAGGCGGGGUUGCAAGUUAGAUGUGAAAUCUCUCGGCUUAACCGAGAGCGUGCAUUUAAAACUGCAGUUCUUGAGUGAUGGAGAGGCAGGCGGAAUUCCUAGUGUAGCGGUGAAAUGCGUAGAUAUUAGGAGGAACACCAGUGGCGAAGGCGGCCUGCUGGACAUUAACUGACGCUGAGGCGCGAAAGCGUGGGGAGCAAACAG
rnacentral:rRNA from 1 species